GACGAACGCUGGCGGCGUGCUUAACACAUGCAAGUCGAACGAUGAAGCUGGAGCCUGCUCCGGUGGAUUAGUGGCGAACGGGUGAGUAACACGUGAGCAAUCUGCCCUUGACUCUGGGAUAACUGCGGGAAACUGUAGCUAAUACCGGAUACGAGGCUCGAAGGCAUCUUCGAGUCUGGAAAGAAUUUCGGUCAAGGAUGAGCUCGCGGCCUAUCAGCUUGUUGGUGAGGUAAUGGCUCACCAAGGCGACGACGGGUAGCCGGCCUGAGAGGGUGACCGGCCACACUGGGACUGAGACACGGCCCAGAGUCCUACGGGAGGCAGCAGUGGGGAAUAUUGCACAAUGGGCGAAAGCCCGAUGCAGCAACGCCGCGUGAGGGAUGAAGGCCUUCGGGUUGUAAACCUCUUUUAGCAGGGAAGAAGCGAAAGUGACGGUACCUGCAGAAAAAGCACCGGCUAACUACGUGCCAGCCGCCGCGGUAA
rnacentral:rRNA from 1 species